rnacentral:rRNA from 1 species
UACGAGGGGUGCAAGCGUUGUUCGGAAUUAUUGGGCGUAAAGGGCAGGUAGGUGGUCUUGAAAGUCUGCUGUGAAAUCCCCGGGCUUAACCUGGGAAGUGCGGCAGAUACUCCAAGACUAGAGUACUGGAGGGGUUCGUGGAAUUCCCGGUGUAGCGGUGAAAUGCGUAGAUAUCAGGAGGAACACCAAUGGCGAAGGCAGCUCGCUGGGACGUGACUGACGCUGAGACGCGAAAGCGUGGGGAGCAAACAGG